GGCGGGACACGUGGUAUCCUGUCUGAAUAUGGGGGGACCAUCCUCCAAGGCUAAAUACUCCUGACUGACCGAUAGUGAACCAGUACCGUGAGGGAAAGGCGAAAAGAACCCCGGCGAGGGGAGUGAAAAAGAACCUGAAACCGUGUACGUACAAGCAGUGGGAGCACAGGUUUACCUGUGUGACUGCGUACCUUUUGUAUAAUGGGUCAGCGACUUAUAUUCUGUAGCAAGGUUAACCGAAUAGGGGAGCCGGAGGGAAACCGAGUCUUAAUUGGGCGUUAAGUUGCAGGGUAUAGACCCGAAACCCGGUGAUCUAGCCAUGGGCAGGUUGAAGGUUGGGUAACACUAACUGGAGGACCGAACCGACUAAUGUUGAAAAAUUAGCGGAUGACCUGUGGCUGGGGGUGAAAGGCCAAUCAAACCGGGAGAUAGCUGGUUCUCCCCGAAAGCUAUUUAGGUAGCGCCUCGUGAACUCAUCUCCGGGGGUAGAGCACUGUUUCGGCUAGGGGGCCAUCCCGGCUUACCAACCCGAUGCAAACUGCGAAUACCGGAGAAUGUUAUCACGGGAGACACACGGCGGGUGCUAACGUCCGUCGUGAAGAGGGAAACAACCCAGACCGCCAGCUAAGGUCCCAAAGUCAUGGUUAAGUGGGAAACGAUGUGGGAAGGCCCAGACAGCCAGGAUGUUGGCUUAGAAGCAGCCAUCAUUUAAAGAAAGCGUAAUAGCUCACUGGUCGAGUCGGCCUGCGCGGAAGAUGUAACGGGGCUAAACCAU
rnacentral:rRNA from 1 species